rnacentral:lncRNA from 1 species
UGAUUAUCAUCAUCAAGAGAGUCGUAACUUGUUGCAAGAACCUUUUGAACUUGAAAAUUCGGAAUCAAUAACACGUAGGGCCAAUGGAAGUCCAUUACAAUGACACUAUUCUCCAAGAGUCCUCUAAAAAAUCUUCAACUGGGCAUCCAAAGACAUGCCAACUGAAAAGCUCAAGUGAUUUUUUGUUAUCUAGAGGUUCAACUUUGCACUUGAUACACUCACCAUCAGCUACAAUCGAAGCCUUAUUUCUACUUACAAUGAUUUUACUUCCUUGGAAAAGCCAAUUUUGAAUGCCAACAAUUGCAUUGAAUUGGUACCAUUUGUCUACAUCAUCGAGAACAAUAAGAGUUCUUCUGCAACAGAAUGCACCCUUAAUCUUUAUAAUCCCUUCAUCGACAUCAUUUAUCUCAUCAGCAGUCUUGAUUAGGAUAUCAGAAAGAAGUUCCCUUUGCAGACAAACUACACCAUUGGAUUCGUUUGACUUUUCUCUAACAUUUGAUAGAAAGCUCCUGCCUUCAAAUUUAUAAAGAUCAAGGGUGCAUUAUGUUGCAGAAGAACUCUUAUUGUUGCUCCUACCUUCUCCACGAUAGAUUGGACAACCUGUGCCUCAUACCUGUAUCAGAAAGAAAAAUGUAAUGUAUAAUUCUCUCCGUAAAGUUUCAAUAUCUUAGCAUCCUGGAAAAAAGAAAUCAAACCAGGAUGUGCGUUAAUGAUGGAUUGCUACUUUUGCAGCUAUGUUAUCACCACAUAUUAAAACCAAAAAAGGAAUAAUGUAGAAAUCUUUGCUUCUUCAGGUAGUCAAGGAAAAAAAAAGAGAAAAAAGUAUCUUUUAUUUUUAUUUUCCUUGUAUGUUCUCUGAGUUGGGAGUGUUAUAGUUUCCCUAAAUUGUAGUGGUAUUAUCACUUAUCGUCUAAAUGCUUGACUACAAACCUGAAAAAAUUAAGAGUUCAGAACCAGCAUUCUAGUAUUAUGUUAUGUGUAGUUUCAUCAAGAAAUACAACUUACCCAUCUCCUAAAACCAUUCCUCCUAAAUCUGCAACUUCCUUCAAAGCAAUCCUCCACCCAUUGACUUGCUCCAUCUCCUUCUUGAAGUGCUUUUUGUUGAAUAAACUCAAUCCAGAAGCUCCCAGAUGGUCAAAGAAGGCAACCACUAGCUGCCACCCACCAGCCGCCACCCACCAGCCGCCAGCCGCCUUCACACUUGGAACAGUUAAUUUUAUAGUUUUUGAUUUCGUGUAUAAAUAGAGUGCCCAGCCUCUGUUAUAUUGUGUGGAGAGAAUUGAGAGAAACACAAGUAAGAGAAAGAGAGAGAGAGGGCGUGUAAUUGUUAAGCUUUAAUUAAUUGUAAGCUUCGGUUUUGUGUAAUAAAAUAGUGUGUUUUAUCCCCUCUGAGUGUUUCAAAGCCACCACCAGUGGUUUCUCCCACCAACAAUUGGUAUCAGAGCCCCGUUCGUCGGAAAACAGAAGAGUUUUGGGGUAUAUCCGAAUUUUCAAAGUUGUCAAAAACAAGUUUUGAUCAUUCCACAGUGUAGAGCUCAUCAAGACGAACUCACUGCCGCAAAAAUCAGCCUCAUCGGAGUCCGAGGUAGCCCACACGCGCCCCGAGGUUGAAGACGACUGAGCCACACGCACGCCAUAUUGGAGCCGCGCCGAGCCGUUAAGCCGAGUCCUAGCCGCGCCGCAAGCCAAGUCCAGCCGAGCCGUACUCCCGCCGAGCCGAGUCGUCAUCAAAGCUCAGCCGAGCCGAAAGAAUAUUCCCAGAAUAUUCCCUAGAAUAUUCCCGGUUCAACCCAGCGAAUCGCCCGCCGUACAAAAUUGGUUUUUCGACCGGUUCACCCAUUUUCUGACCCGAUUUCAACAAAGUCAGACCGGUUCCCGACUAUUUGGACCAUUCCGGAUCGAUCUACAGUGUCCGUUUGGUCAAAUUCGGCUCCUAGAAAGGUGAUAUAGUCAUUCAAAGAGCAAAAUGACUACAGAAGGUACACAUACACUCAUUCCAAAGCUGACCAAAGAUAACUAUGAUAGUUGGUGAAUCAGAUUGAAGGCAUUUCUUGGGUCACAAGAGUGUUUGGAUAUUGUACAAACUGGUUAUGUUGAACCAGAGUCCAAAGAAGCAGAAGAUGCUUUACAAGAGGCACAGAAGCAAGCCCUCAAAGUCAACAGAAAGAAGGACAACAAAACAAAGACCAUCAUCUAUCAAGGUCUUGAUGAAGAUACAUUCGAGAUCAUAGCUUCCGCUGAAACAUCACAUGACAUAUGGGAGGCUCUCCAACAGAAAUACAAAGGUGCUGACAGAAUUAAGAAGAUUCGUCUUCAAUCUUUGCGAGGAGAAUUUGAGUUAUUGCAAAUGAAGUCCUCGGAGUCUAUUUCUGAUUAUCACACAAGGAUUAUGGUGAUAAUCAAUCAGAUGAGGAGAAAUGGAGAAGCCAUCAUCGAUGCUCGAAUUAUUGAAAAAAUUUUGAGACCCCUAGAUCUAAAAUUUGAUCAUGUUGUUGUCGCCAUUAAAGAGUCCAAAGAAGUGGAUAAGUUGACAGUUGAUGAGCUUAUGAGUUCCUUGCAAGCUCAUGAGCAGAAGAUUCUAAAGAGAAAUGGAGAUAAGGCCAUCGAACAUGCCUUACAAGCAAAGUUGUCUCUCAAAGACAGAUAUGAGCAAGGGGAGACUUCAUCAAGUGGAUACACCACUCAAGCAGGAAGUCAACAAUCCAGAGGAGGAUUCCAGAGAUUCCAAGGAAGAGGUUCUUGGAAUACAAGCUUUAGAGGAAAAGGUGGCAGAAACACUACCAGAGGAGGCCGAGGACAACAAGCAUUCACUCCUAGAGGAAGAGGAGGCGGUUACAAUAACCGUGACAAGAGGAAUAUCCAAUGUUAUAGUUGCAAUCAAUUUGGGCACUAUAGCAUUGAAUGCAGAAGAAAAGCUCCGUUAGAGAUACGUGAGCAAGCCAACUAUGCAGAAAAGGAUGACAGAGAAGCAUCUGCAUUUCUUGUCCAACAAGGACUUGAUGAGAAAAAGGAGGAUAUAUGGUAUCUAGAUACUGGAGCCAGCAAUCACAUGUGCGACUACCGAGAGUUAUUUAGUAAUCUAGAUGAGACCAAGCAAGGUCUAGUUACUUUUGGAGAUACCACAAAGGUUCCAUUCAAAGGUAAAGGCAACAUCCCAGUCAAGAUGAAGAAUGGCGAUUCCAGCUACAUCGUCGAUGUCUAUUAUGUCCCAGCCAUAAAGCAGAACCUGAUCAGCUUAGGUCAACUUUUGGAGAGAGGCUAUACUUUUUACUCGGAGAAUUGUCAUCUGACAAUUAGAGACAACAAUUGGAGAUUAAUGGCCUAUGUGAAAAUGUCCAAGAAUAGGAUGUUUCCUUUGAACAUCCAGUAUGAUGCAGCAAGGUGUUUGAGUGCCAUCACCAACAGUGAAGAAUGGCUUUGGAUCAAUCUUGAUUUGAUCCUUGAAGGUGAAGAAGUACCAACAGUACUUGUAGAAGAACCGAUUGUGCCAGCAGCUGAACCACAAAGUCCGGUGUUUAUACCAGCAGCUGAACCACAAAGUCCGGUGUUUAUACCAGCAGCUGAACCACAAAGUCCGGUGCACAGAUUCCCUGUAUUCAACAGGAGGAACACACCAGGAGCAUCAUCAUCAACACCACCAUCAGCAUCCUCGUUAGAAGGACCAAGAAAGAUGCAGAAUCUUGAAGAGUUGUACGAUACCACUCAGGUAAUGGAAGAUACAACUCUGUUUUGUUUCCAUGCAGAUAGUGACCCAUUAAGCUUCAAUAAAGCUGUCACAGAAAAGAAAUGGAUAAAAGCAAUGGAUGAAGAAAUACAUGCCAUUGAGAGAAGAAAGAUACCUGGAAGCUGACUUAUCCACCAGAAAAGAAGAAAGCAAUAGUGGUCAAAUGGGUCUACAAGACGAAAGCCAAAUUAGUGGAUAAAGGCUACAAGCAGAGAGAAGGCAUUGAAGAGAGAAGUAUUCAUGCUUGGCAUGAUAUCUCUCGAUUGAGUUUAAAGGGGAGAUUUGUUGAAUAAACUCAAUCCAGAAGCUUCCAGAUGGUCAAGGAAGGCAACCACCAGCUGCCACCGACCAGCCGCCACCGACCAGCCGCCAGCCACCAGCCGCCUUCACACUUGGAACAAUUAAUUUUAUAGUUUUUGAUUUCGUGUAUAAAUAGAGUGCCCAGCCUCUGUUAUAUUGUGUGGAGAGAAUUGAGAGAAACACAAGUAAGAGAAAGAGAGAGAGGGGGCAUGUAUUGUGUUAAGUUUGAAUUAAUUGUAAGCUUCGGUUUUGUGUAAUAAAACAGUGUGUUUUAUCCCCUCUGAGUGUUUCAAAGCCACCACCAGUGGCUUCUCCCACCAACACUUUUCACGAUCCACAAAUGUUGUAGCAAAGCUCCUUGUUUGAUUUCUGACUUCAGACGGAUCAUAGAAGACCGGCAAAAUUAUGCAGUCAGUAUUGCUCUUACGUUCCAUGAUCAUUACAAGUUCAUCGAGGCACCACCGCGACAAAGCAUAUGCUUUGGAGAACACGAUUAUCGAUAUUUUUUAUUGUUGUAUUGCCUACUGGAGCUCUGACUUUAUAUUUUCUCCUCUCCCAAUUUCAUCAUCGUCUCUAAAUGUGUGAAUCCCUGCUUGAACCAGGGCUGUGUAGAGGUGAUCGGUAAAGUUCUUGCGGGUGUCUUCCCCUCUAAAACUCAAGAACACUUGAUAUUUACAAUUAGAAAACCGAGAAGAGUAGGAUUCUUGAUAUUUCCCAGCAGCCAUUUCGAGUCUAGCAAAGAUAAGACUUUACAAAGAUCUGGACAAAAAAAAAAGGAAUUGCAGGAUUCUAGAUAUUUCCCAGAAGCCAUUUCGAGACUAGCAAAGAAAAAAAGUUGCAGGAUGAAUGUCGAUAAUUCAAGAUCGAUAGCACAACAAUUAGCUGAAGUAUUUAUAUAUCAUUAUCCUACUUUUUCUUUAUAACAGCAAUCAACUCCCCCAGACCCUUUCAGAUAAAUAUCUGUACAUAUGUUAACCGCACUUGCUACCACGCAUUUAGAAGCACAGAUGGAGCAGGAAAGGAAAGUCAUUAAGGAUCCCCAUCUGGCUAUGUAAGCCUUAAUUAUUUAGAAAGCACACAUCUUGUAAUCCUUACAAAGCCCACGGGGGUGAAUUUGUUAGUUUAUAAUUUUUUGAGUGGCAUAAUAUGAUGAGAUGAUGAACAUGUAGUCACUAACAGUGGUUUAAUCUAAGCGAUUAUCAACAAAGAAAACAAGACAGCAGCUGGAUUGGAACCAAAGUAAACAAGAGAUAAGAAAGAGAGAGUACCUGCAAGUUUCCCUUCCCUUCUCUCUUCAGUUGUGGCUGCUGUUCUGUAUCAGUAAUCUAAGCGGUUCUGCUCCACAAUUUUAAGACAACCCUUCAAGUCUUUGUGGCACAAUAUUAUAAUAAAAUAUUUUAUUAUAUAGGAAUGCGAGGUAUAGUUACCAAAAGGGACAUUAGACACCCGCAUAAUCCAACUCAUCCACUCUCGCUGUGCCCCUGCUCUGGCCGUAUCUCUAUCCUCUCGCAUCCAAAACCAGCAUCAACACCACCCACCAAUAAGAAAAAGGCACGUGGAGGAUCAUGACUCUGAAUCAGCUACUGGGUCGGCUACCGAGUGGUGUUCCGUUUUGAGCCAUUGAGUAUUGCUGUGGAGUGGAGGGACAUUGAAGCUGCACAAUGUUUGGUGUCUUUGGCUAUAAAGUGUGGGCUUAAGGAAUCAGGGAUUACAAGUGCUGAUGGCAAGAGGGCUAUUGAGUGGGGGUUUUAUAAGAAUGGAGGUUCCAUGGAGUGAUAGUAAUAGGAUUCUGUUGUCAAAAGAGUGUGUGAGGUUUCCCGUUGACUUGGCUCGUCAGAAAAUUGGAAGAGAACUCGAGCGUUUUUUAGUUGUUUAAGAGAAAACAGCAAAUGGGCUCGUCAGAUAAAAAAUUACUAAUUAAAUUUUAUCAUGUGUUAUUUUUAUUUUAUUUUUUAUAUAAAAAAAUGAAAUAAAAUAGAUAAAAUAACAUGAAAAUUGGAAGGUUAACUUAUAUUUAAUAUGUCUUAUUAUAAAUGCAAAUUAAUAAAAUAAUAUCAUAUUACAUUUUUUAAUAUGAAACCCUUAUAAAUACUUAUAAAUAAAAGAUCUCAUGCUAUUUCAUGAUAAGCUUUCCAAGAAAAAAGAAAAAACUAUUUCAAAAGCUUUCCAGUUUUUUUGAUUUUACGGUUGAAAUCUAAAAAAGCAAACCUCUACUUAAUGAAACCUAAAAUAAUACAGGUUCUAGACCCUUCUUUGCAAAACUCCAAAAAGUGUAAUUGCGAGUCCUGUGUUUACCAUGGAAAGCACAAUUAUAAUUUCUAACUAUAUGAGAAGCUAUUUGUACUUUGGCUACGUGUGCUGCAUCAUCAUCAUCAUCGCUACUGUUGUGGGCAUUGAUAACUUCAUCCUUUCCUUCCUCUUCAUGCAACCAUUGUACACCAACGGUCCUUAUUUGGAUAGCUGGACCACGUGGACGCACUGAAAUACUCACGUCAUCACCAUUAUCAAAUGUAGGAUCAUUGCCCCCCUAAUUUCGUGUGCAAUAGCGAUUGGAUUUCCCGAUCACCACACGCGUACUGUUUGACAAAGGAUUGACAAAGCAAGGAUCGACCACUCGUAUUGUUUCUGAUUUCAAUAUGAACAUUACUAAAGCCACGGUAUGCUGACGUCACACAACUUAUGAACAGAUUAAAGCCACAUAUCCGGUGCGCAGGAGGUGAUGAGGAUAUUUUGAAUGAAAAGUUAUCUACAAACUCAUUCUGAAUUAGCCAUUUAUCCUCCACAUGAAACCCCCUUAACAUCUCAUCUUCAUCAAAUACAUAUACGGCAACGUUGAAUGUGCCAUCUAUAAAUGAUAUCUGUACCAUCAAAACAAUGUCUAUAAAAUGAGAAAAAGAAAAGUAUUCAAAUGUAGAUUUCCAAAACAAUAAAAUGGGUGAAGGAGGACCUGAAAUCUCGAUGGCUGUAUUUGAGCACUAACCGUUUCCAUUAUUGUGAACAUUUGAGAGUCUAACUUUUGGAUUAAUCCUUGCUUUAUCCGAUCUUGGAACUCGAUUAAGUGAUCACAACCAUCUCCUUCAGGCCUACUGUAUGGAUUUGCAAGUCUUUGCAGUGAAUAGCAAAAGGACACAUCUAACAACUCCAAAAGGAAUGGAAGCUCUGGGAGUGCCUGAAGCAUUUUGCAAUUUCUUAAAUAUAGGUGUCUGAGUAGACCAAGAUCCUUGAUGCUUUCUGGAAGAAAACGAAUUGGAGUUCCACUUAAAUCUAGACUCUCCAAGAAGCGUGGCAGUAAAAACGAGGUAAAUCUCAACAUUUUCCUCGUUGAAAACCUAGAGGGAAAGAAUAGCUUCAAUGGAAGAGAUGUAAUGUACGAUGCACUUGCAACAAUUCCAUCACUUUGAAGCAACUUGCGCCCCUGAUGAUGCUCUAACUCCAUAUUCAGGCUGUUAAGAUUUGAACAACCAUCUAAAACCAGCUCUUGAAGUGAAUUCAAUCUACUCAUUCCUUCUGGAAGCUCCAUAAGACUUGUACAAUUUCUUAGAUUUAAGAUUAACAAUCUUUGUAAAUCACCAAUAGAUUCGUGAAUUUGAACCAAACGGAUGCAGUCUUCAAGUAUUAGCUUUUCAAGGGCUGGGAGACCCGAGAAGUCUGGGGUUCUAAUGAGAUCUUGAGAGUGACGGAGAUCAAGAAUUUUCAAUUUUGGAAGAAACUGUGAAAAUACAUGAAUUUAGUUGUUAUCAAUUGAAAACGAGAGAGAUAACUAUAAAGAGACUUGAUACAUACCGGUGUUUUCCCUUCCAAGCAUCAACUAGACAACUUCUGGAUAGAUCAAGAACCACCAGCUUCUCCAAGCAUACGUGAUUUGGUAUGGAGCUCCAAGACAAUCCAUGCCAACAUAACCAUAUCAAAUUCCUGGGAAAGUGCUCAAAACUUCCAUGAAAAUUAGUGUAGUUUAGUUGGAGAAAUUUUACAUCUGUCAUCUUUCUAAAAGCAUUCGUGCUGAGGAUAGGAAACAAACUUGUUUGGCCAGUUUGUAAUUUUCCCUCAUAGGAAAAAUCAGAAAGCCAUUGUUGAAAGAAGUUAACCCUGCGGCGCUUUCGGCAAACCAUUGAAUCAGUACAGACAACUUUUGCAUAAUUAUCUUCCAUUAAUGCAUGCAUAUCAAUAGUAAGGCCACGCAAAUUUUCAGCAUCCUACAUAAUAAUAUUAAGAGUACAUGAGAAAUGAAAGUAAAUGAAAUAAUAUGUUAAGGCACCACAAACCAUUUAAGUAGAUAUAUUAAAAAAAUUGAGCUACUUACAGUAGUUCCUUUCAAAACUGUAAAAGCAUCCUCGUGACGCCAUAUUCUUUGACAUUUGGGAGAUUCUUGACGAGCAAUUUCCCUUCCCAUAGCUCUUACGAGUUGAUGCAUCCACAACCUUUUAUCAUUGUUGAUUUCAAUAAGACAUCUAUCGAUGAGAUUGUCAAUCCCAAAUCUUGCACCUUUAUCGAGCCCAUCCAGUAUCCUAACUGCAUCAUCCACAUCCAUUCCAUUGAUGAAACAUGCGAUAUCAAGGAAUAAGUUCUUCAGAUAAUCACCAUCAAGAAAGUCGUAACUUAUUCGAAGAACCUUAUGAACUUCAAAAUUAGGAAUCACUUCCAUUUGUUGUAAUGCACUUUCCCAUAUCUCUCUUCCUUUUCCAGACAAUGAAGAGCCAAUAACUCCAAGAGCUAAUGGAAGUCCAUUACAAUGAUGUACUAUUCUCCAAGAGUCUUCUACAAAACCAUCAACAGGGUCAGCUUGUCCAAAGGCAUUCCAACUGAAAAGCUCAAGUGAUUUUCAUCAUCUAGCGGUUUGACUUUUGCACCUGACCCACUCAAUAUCAUUAGCUGAAAACAGACCCUUAUUUCUGGUUGUUACAAUGAUUUUACUUCCUUUACAAAGCCAAGUUUGCAUGCCAAUGAUUUUAUUGAAUUGGUCCCUUUUGUCCACAUCAUCUAGAACAAUAAUAGUUUUUCUGCAACAUAAUGCAUCCUUAAUCUUCAGAAUUCCUUCAUCAGGAUCAUUUAUCUCAACAGUCUUGUUUAGGAUGUCGAAAAGAAGUUGUCUCUGCAGGCAAACUAUAUCCUUUAACCUAAAAUUUGAUAGAAAGCUCUUUCCUUCAAAUUCAUAAAAGUUAUGGUUAAAAACACUCUUAGCUAUGGUUGUCUUACCAACUCCACCAAUUCCAUAGAGUAAAGCAAUGGCAGCACCAUGGGACCCAUCUUGCAACCAUGAGUUGAUAUCUUGUACUAGAGGAUCUCUUCCAAUGAAAUGAGGGGUACAUGAAACAUUUUUUUGAUCCAAAUUCUUUAAGACUUCUCCACAAUAGAUUGGACAAACGGUGCCUCGUACCUACAUCAAAAAGUAAAAACAUACAACGAUAAUUAGUAGUCUCUCUAUAAGCAAUAGAAAUUAAAGCAGGUUGUGUGUCAAUGAUUUGAUAGUUUAAACCAAAUCAUGAUUGGAAAAAAAAAAAACAACGAAGAAAUCAUGAGUAUUUUAUUUUAUUUUUGUUAUAUGUUUUCUUAUCAGUACACUUAACUGAAAGAAAUUAAGAGUUCACGACCAGCAUUCUAAUCUUAUGCUAUGUAUAGUUUCAUAAAGAGAUACAACUUACCCAUCUCCUAGAACCAUUCCAGCUAAAUCAGCCACUUCCUUUAAAGCAAUCCUCCACCCAUUCACCCGCUCCAUCUCCUUGUUGAAGCUCUUUUCAUGUUCCACAAAUGCUGCAGAGAAGCUCCCUGUUUGACGUCCGACUUGGGAUGGAUCCACAUCAUAGAAUACUGGCAAACUAUGCAGUCAGCAUUCCUCUUACGUUCCAUGAUCAUUACAAGUUCAUCAGGCACCAUCUCGACGAAGCAUAGUCUUUGGAGAACACGAUUAUCGAUAUUUUUGAUUGUUGUAUUGCCUUCUGGAGCUCGAAAUCUAUAUUCUCUCCUCUCCGAAUUUCAUUAUCAUCUCUAAAUGUGUGUGAAUCCCUGCUUGAACCAGAGCCGUGUAGAGGUGAUCGGUAAAGUUCUUGCGGGUGUCUUCACCUCUAAAACUCAAGAACACUUGAUAUUUACAAUUAGGAAACCGUGAAGAGUAGGAUCUUGAUAUUUCCCAGCAGCCAUUUCGAGUCUAGCAAAGAUAAGACUUUUCAAAGAUCUGAACAAAAUAAAACAGUUUUCAAGAUUGAGAGAGAAAGGGUGGAUUGUAAAUUUAAGACAAGUCAUCCCCACAAGUCCACUCUCUCUAUGGUAUGGAACGUUUCCGCGUGAGGAAUUUUCCAUGGCUAAUUAAUGUCUAGGCGUGGAAAAUUUUGCAUGGAAAGUUUUGGUGCCGGGAAUUGAUGGCUAUUGACAUCGUGAAGUAAGAAUCAAGUUAGAAAAAUCUAAUUAAGAGGAGAAGUUUAUGGCUAUUCACAUCAUUUCGGCCAAAAAUUCUAUCGAAAAAUUAAGGGGUAAGAAACCCAGGCGAUAAGAAACCGCGAAGAGUAGGAUUCUUGAUAUUUCCCAGCAGCCAUUUCGAGUCUAGCAAAGAUAAGACUUUUCAAAGAUCUGAACAGAAAAAAAAUAAAAUAAAACGAGUUGCAGGAUUGAUGUCGAGAGUUCAAGAUCGACAGCACACCAAUAAGCUGAAGUAUUCAUAUAUUGUUAUCUUACUUUAUCUUUAAAACAGUUUUCAAGUUAUUUCCCAGCAAUCAAAUCCUCCAUGCCCUUUCUGAAAAAUAUCUGUACAUAUGAUUAAUUUAAGUGAUUCUAAAAAAUAUUUUUUUUAUUUUUUUUAUUUUUAUUUUUUAUUUUUUUUAUCCUUCAAAAAAAAAAGAGAGAGUACCUAUAAUCUUUACUUGUAAGACCAUCUCCAGGAGAAAAUGUUAUUUUGAAGAGUUUAAUUGAUAAAAUAAUAUUUUAAAUAGUAUAUAUAUAGUGUUUUUAUUUUUUUAAUAAGUUUAAUGUUAUUUUUUUAUAUGUUUAUAUUUAAUUGAUUUAUUUUUUUAUGGUCUUAUUUUGUUGGUUUUGAUGUUUUUAAAAGAUACGUAAGAAUAAUAUUUGUGAUAGAGAAAAACAAUUUUAUUUAAUAUUUUUUUUUAAAUAUGUAAAAUAAACAUAAAAAAACUAAAAUAAUAUUAAGAUGAGGAUGCUAAAAAGUCAGCCUUGGAAGUCGCUGUGAUAUAAUUACCAAAAGGGACAUUAGACACACUCACACGGUUCUUCUUACUUCACCCACCAGUAAGAAAAAGGCACAUGGAGGAUAAGGCUCUCCAUAUCUGACUUGGAAAGUUUACUAGGGCCUGUAAUUCUUGCUGCAUCAUUUGAAUCUGCUGAAAGUAAAGUAGAUUUACGAAGAAUUAAUUGAAAAACAAAGCAAUUGGUUAAAUUAAAUAAAUUACUCAACUAGCAUAAUUUUUUUAUUAGUAUUUCAAUUAAAUAAUUUGAUUUGUUUUUUAUUUAGAAUUUGAGAUUUAUGGAAUUUGAGGUGUUUAAUGGUUUGUUCUCAUAUAUAAAAAACUCGUGAAUUAGACUUUUUAUAAAUAAAAUUUAAAUUUAAAUAAAAAAAAUAUUAGUUGAACUAAAUCUUGCUAACUCCCAAUAAAAUUGAAUCAUAUCAACAUCAAAUAAUUAUUUUUAAAACAAAAAGUAAAUUAAUCUUAUUUUUAUUAAAUAAUUGACUCAAGUUAAUUAUUAUUAUUUUUAUAAAAUAAUUGACUUAAGUUAAUUGGAUAACGCAGUUAUCAAAACUUAUUUUAAAAGCGUGUUUAGAAAUGUGAUAGCGAUUAUUUUUUAAAAUAUUUUUUAUUUAAAAAUAUAUUAAAAUAAUAUAUAUUUUUUAUUUUUUAAAAAUUAUUUUUGAUAUAAGUACAUUAAAAUAAUAUAAAAAUAUAAAAAAUAUAUUAAUUUAAAAUUAAAAUAUUUAAUUUUAAAAAAAACACUUCUAACACAUAAUACCAUGCACACCCUAUAUUUGUAAUCGGACCAGUCUACAACUGGGGCCCAAGACAUGGGCAUGGUUUUAAAAUUGAGAGAGAAAGGGUGGAUUGUAAUUUUAAGACAAGUCAUCCCUACAAGUCCACUCUCUCUAUGGUAUGGAACGUUUCCGCGUGAGGAAUUUUCCAUGGCUAAUGCAUGGAAUUGAUAUAUUGACAUCGUGAAGUAAGAAUCAAGUUAGAAAAUAAACUUCAGAAGUUGAUGGCUAUUGACAUCAUUUCGACCAAAAAUUCUAUCGAAAAAUUGAGGGGUAAAAAACCCAGACUCUACCCUUCGUAUUGUUUCUGAUUUCAAGAUAAACAAGACGAUAAGGAUUGCAUACUGACAUAGCAGAAAACCAUGUGAAUAGAUCAAAGCCACAUAUCCGGUACUCUUGUUCUUCCUCCUCGUGAAACCACAUUAACAUCUCAUUUUCAUCAUAUUCAAGGACAAUGUUGAAUCUGUUGCCCUAAAGUUGUAUCUAUUCCAUCAUAGCAGAAUUUAUAAAAUGAGCAAAGGGAAAAUUUUCUAGAUAUAUAAGAGCAAAAAUGUAGAGUUGAAAUAAAGCAGAACUUAUAAAAUGAGCAACGGAGAUCAAGAAUUUUAAAUUUUGGAAGAGACUGUGAAAACACUUGAAAUCAGUUAUUGUCCAUUGAAAAUAAGAGAGAUAGCUGAAUAGAGAGACUAGAUACAGAGCAUGCCUUUCCAAGCAACAAUUAGACUGGUUCUGAAUUCGAUUAAGAGCCACAAGCUUCUCCAAGCAGAAGUGCUUUGGUUUGGAUCUUGUAAUAACCCAACCCUUUUAUUUUAUUUAUAUUAUUAUUAUUAUUUUCCUUGAAAAAUGAUAAUAAAAAAAUAAUGAAAAAAAACAAAUAAAAAAAUAAAAUAAAUGAAGAAUGAAUUAAAAUUUGGGUUAACGGUAACAUGAGUGAAAGUUUUGGAAUUUAAUUAAACUUUGGAUUAGUUUUAUUAACCAAAUUAAGAGCUUAAUUGAGGAAUUGAUAAGUUUGAGACUUAAUUGAACUUGAAAUUAGUUAAUUAAUGAAAUCAGGGGCUUAAUUAAAUAAACAUCAAAGUUUAGGACUGAUCUAGUUACAAUUGCAAGAAAUUAAAAGCCAAUGACCAAUUUGUAAAUGGCGCUGAGAUCUAGGGGUCCAAUUAAAAUGUAUCCAGGGGGCUUGCUUACAAAGCUUUCAAAACAUCAGACCAAAACGAAAAUGGCCAUCAACACUGUUCAUUUUCUUCAACGAACUAGACCAGAAACGGAUGCCCCACGAUCCGCCUCAUUAUUUAGAGGCGACCGCAUGGCAUUAUCUGGCUCUAUAAAAAGCCAGAGAAAGACCAGGCACUCCGGGGGGGGGGGGCUGGGGGAAGGAGAAACGUAAAGAAAAACAGAGAGAAAGAACGAACAUCAUUGAAAAACUAAAGGGACGCCCUUGUCUUCUUCUUCGGUGGCAGCUCCAAAAGCUCCAUUUUCAGCAGGCACUGCUGUUAUUGCUUGAGAAGACCUAAAAAUACAGAGGGAAAAACUGGAAAAGGGAACAAACCAGGGGACUAAGGAAAACCAAAAGAACCCGAGAAGGAAACAGAGGUAGAAACCCGGGGAGGACAAAGAAAAAAAAACAGCCGAACAGAGGAGAGGGAGUGAAAGUAGGAAACACAGAAUCCGCAGAGAAGAACAGAGCAUAUACGGGGAGACUAAAAGAAAAAUAGAAAAAAACAAACACAGGCAAAGGUUGCACCGAGAGAAAGCUAAAGAAAAGAAAGAACCAGAGGAAAAGUAAACGAAAGGAGGAACAGCACGCCAUCGCCUUCAUCCUGCUCCCAGGUAAGUGUCUCCAAUUUUGCAAAAUAAUUCACCAACACUGUGCCCACUAGACCUAACCUAAAAAAAAUAAAAAUAAAGAUAAAAUAAAAUAAAAACAAGUAAAAUAAAAUAAAAUAAAUAUAUGCAUGCAUACAUAAAAAAUAAAUUUGGUUUAUUUACUGAUAACAGAGUUAUGAAUAAAAAUACUUAUUUAAAUUUAUUUUAUUAUAUUUUGUUAUUAUUAUUUUCUAGCUACGUAAUAUUUACUAAUGCUAGAGUUGAAAAUAUUUAUAGUUGAAUAUUCAUUGACACUAGAGUCGGGAAUAUUACAAGCAAACCAUCAGAGCAUAAACCAAUAAUUUUUUAGGAAUUUAAAAUAAAAUCAACAAUGCAGCCUGUCAUAGACAGGAAGUUUAAGAAGUGAUAAUAUCUUUAUUUUUAUAUAAUCAGUCUUGUACCAUAGAAUCUAUGUUGAUCAGUUAGGAUUUCUAGUGAACAUAAUACUAGAUGAUGACUCUUUAAACAAGAUCAUUCCCCCUAAAAAAACAAGAUGUCAAGUGUCUAUGCUUUUCUCUUAUAAGAUUUCAUUUUUACAUGGUCGCGCGAAGUCCAAUGUGACAUAUCUUAAAGGGAAUCCAUAUCAACAUAACUACAUCAAAUUCUUGGAAAAGUGUUAAUAACUUCCAUAGAACUUGUGUAAUUUAGCUGGAGAAAUUUUACAUUUUACAUCUUUCUAAAUGCAUCCGUACGUGCUGAGGACAAGAAACAAACUUGUUUGGUUAAUUUGUACUUGUUCCCCCAAGAAAAACUCAGAAAGCCACUAUUGAGAGAGGAGUGUAGGAAGAAGACAUUGUUGAAAGAAGUUAAACCUGUAGCGGUUGCAGGCGCACCAUUGAAUCAGUACAGACAACUUCUGUACUUAUUCAUGCAUAUACAGGGUAAGGCCACACAAUUUUUCAGCUUCAUGCUUCCAAAAUAUUGAAAGUAAAUGAGAAAAGAAAGUAAAAGCAUGAACAUUUUAAGACACCUAAAUACCAUGAAGAUAGGAAAACAGAACCAGUUACUCUUACACUUGUUUCUUUCAAAACUGUAAAAGCUUCCAUGUGUGAUGCCAUAUUCUUUGACAUUUGGGUAAUUCUUGACGAGCAAUUUCCCUUCCCAUGUCUCUUACGAGUUGAUGCAUUUAUAAAUUUUUUUUCAUUUUAUUUUAACAAUUUAUGAGAUAGUCAAUCCUUAAUCUUGCAUCUAUACCGAACCCAUCAAGUGUCCUAACUGCAUAAUUCUCAUCCAUUCCAUUGAAGAAAUAAGCAAUAUCAAGGAAUAAGUUCUUCUGAUAAUCAUCAUCAGGAGAGUUCUAACUUUUUGCAAGAACCUUUUGAACUUGACAAUUUGGAAUCACUUCCAUUUCAUGUAAUGCACUUUCCCAUACUUUUCUGCUUUUACUAAAAAAUGAAGAACCAAUAGCACAAAGGGCUACUGCAAGUCCAUUACAAUGAUGUACUAUUCUCCAAGAUUCCUCCAUAAAAUCUUCAACUGGGUAAGCUUGUCCACAGGCAUGCCAACUCAAAAGAUUAAGUGAUUUUUUGUUAUCUAGAGGUUCAUCUUUGCACUUGACACACUCACCAUCAUCUACAAUCAAAGCCUUAUUUCUAGUUCUUACAAUGAUUUACUUCCUUCGCGAAGCCAAUUUCGCGUGCCAACAAUUGCAUUGAAGUGGUCCCAUUUGUCCAUCUCAUCAAGAACAAUAAGAUUUCUUCUGCAACAUAACGCAUCCUUAAUAUAAUUAAUCCCUUCAUCAACAUCAUGUAUGUCAUCAGCAUUGUUUAGGAUAUUUGAAAGAAGUUGCCUCUGUAGGCAAACUACACCAUUGGAUUCUUUUGACUAUUCUCUAACAUUUGAUGGAAAGAUCCUACCUUCAAACUUAUGAAACUGCUGGUUAUAAACACUGUUUGCUAUGGUUGUCUUCCCUACUCCACCAAUCCCAUAAAGUAUAUCAAAGGCAGAACUGUGGGAGCCAUAUUCUUCCAACCAUAAGUUGAUAUGUUUUACUAGAGGAUCUCUUCCGAUGAAAUGAAGGGAGAUAUGAAAUAUUUUAUUUGUCGUAUAAGAUCAUGGUCACAAGAAAUUGUCGUAUUUUUUAAUUGUUGGUCCGUUUAUGGUUUAAGAAAAGUCCUCUUCGAUAAAAAGAUCAUUAUUUUAUCGGGUAAAAUCUAACCACUCUAACGUCAAAAAAAGAAUUUAAUAUCCUGAAUACGUCUUACGUAUAAGAUCAUAACCCUAGAUAUUAAAAGAAAAAAUAUAUUUUUUUGAAGUUUUUUUGAAAUAUUGGCCUAGUUCUCGCGAUUUUAAUAAACUGGUUAUUAAAGUCAAAAUGCAUGCUAAUACAUAUUUUUGAAGUUUUCUUUGUUAUAUGAAAGUACAAUAUGAUUUUUUUAGAGACUUGGCCGUAUGUAUGAAAACAAAAUAUUUUUUAUGUUUUGCCGAAGACCAGGUAUUUUAAUAUCGAAUUUGUAUCUUUACAGUAUAAAAAUACAAACCGAUAUUAAUUAAAAUGCAGUACAUUUUUUUGCAGAAAAUCACAGAUUUUUUUGAAAAAAAAACAAUUUUUUUUUUUUAAAACCGGAACUAGCCCAGGUUAAGCCAGUGACCCGGCUGCUUGCUCAACGAUUCAAGUGAAUUAUAAUUCAGUUGCUCAUUGAACUUGAACAGUAAAGAGCAACAAUUACUGUUCAAGUGAAUUAUAAUUAAUUCACUUGAACAGUAAAAGAUAACAAUGAAAAAAAGAAAAUGCAUGCAGUGACAGAAACAAUGCAAUGUGAAGAGAAAUGUGUGAGGCUUACCUAGUAUCUGAAACAGAUGAAGACGAUUGCAAUGAAACUGCUGCGCAGGAUCGGAGGUGACUGAUUUUGGGGACGAUGAAGACGAUCAACGCUGGGUCUUUUUUCUUCUGGUUUUUCCCUUCCCUUUUCUUCCUGUUUUUCUCCCCUGUAUUCCCCUCUCAGCGGUUCUUGGCGUGGCUGCUGGGAUGAAGAAGAUGAUGAGCUGACAAUGGCGUUGGCAGUGCUGGUGCAGUUGUGAUGGAGAAUGGCAGUGGCUGGUUUCUGGAAGAAUUGAAGAUGAUGACAAUUUGGUUUUAUUCCCUUGCCUCUGGUUCCAAAGGUCAAGGGACAGCGACGAUGGAGGCUGGUUGCUGUUGGUUUUUUUUCUUGCUUCUGUUCUUCUGCUCCUCUGUUAUCGUCUCCCUAUGCUUCCCAGUUCUCCUUCCUGUCUCCCUCUUUUUCUUUUUAUUCUCCCUGUUCUCUCUCUCUCCCUCUCUGUCUCGUCUUUCUCCUUUCCGUUACCCCCCUCUCUCUGUUUUUCUCCUGUCCGUUGUCCUCUCUGGUCUUUUUUUUUCUGUCUUUCCUCCUCCUUUUCAUCGUCUUUCUCUGGCUUUUAGAAGCCAAAGAAUGCCCUGCGGUGCAACGUUCAGCUUGGUAACGACAUGUAGAGGAAUAGUAGCCGUGAAAUAUUCCCCAUAAUUGAAGCAAUCUGCUGUUUUUGUCGCUGAAAUGGCUCCACUGUCUACUGAAACGGCUGUGAAGAAAGGGGAUGAAAUAGUGCUCUGAAACGGCGCCGUCUUCCUAUCAAAAUGGAUAUUUCUGAUUUGGUCCUUGUCUGUUUUGACAAUUUUCUAAUCAAGCCCCCGGAUGAAUUGUAAUUGGAUCCCUUGAUUUUAAUUUAUUUUUCCGGUUUAGUCCUUGGUUUCAAAUUGUUUCAAUUAAGUUCCUAAUUGGCCAUCAAACUUCAAUAAUUAUGCAAUUAAGCAUCUGAUUUGAUCAAAUCAACUCUUUAAAAUUAUAAUUGGACCCCAUAACUUUAAUUACUUCCAAUAAAAACCUAAAUUGACUUUAAAAAAUCAAUUUUCUUACAAUUAAACCAUCUAUAAAUUCAAUUAAACCUUGGAUAAAAUUUAAUUGAGUCCAUAAACAUUUUAUUUUAGAUUUUUCUUUCUCAACUUGAAUUUUAUUUGUCAAUAGAGCUCUCAUUAGUAGAAAAUAUAACGUAAAAUUUCAAUUCUUGUAUUUCUGAACCUCCUCAACUAAUUCCUAGUCAUUUUAUAAGAGUUCCAGCGUCUUUUUCUCACUCCUGUUAUUAUUAUUUUUUAUUUUUUCCAAAUAUAUUUUUUUUGUAUUUUUUUAUUUUUUAUAUGGAAAUCUAAAAAUAGAUAACAAUAGAAGAGGUAAUAUCGUUCAUUGUCUAAAUGCUUUACUACAAACCUGAAAAAAUUAAGAGUUCACUACCAGCAUUCUAGUCUUAUGCUAUUUGUAAUUUCAUUCAGAAAUACAACUUACCCAUCUUCUAAAACCAUUCCUCCUAACUCUGCAAUUUUCUUCAAAGCAAUCCUCCACCAAUUCACUCGCUCCAUCUCCUUCUUGAAACGCUUUUCAUGAUCCAAUAAUGCUAUAGCGACUUCAGAUGGAUCCACAUCAUAGAAUACUGGCAAAACUAUGCAGUCAGCAUUCCUCUUACACUCCAUGAUCAUUACAAGUUCAUCGAAGCACCACCUCGACAAAGCAUAAUUUAACAAUUAUUUUUUUAAUUGUUGUUUGUUUUAUUUUUUAUUAUUUUUUUAUUGAUUAAUUUUUUAAUUCCAUUCCUCAUCAUUUUAUUGAUCAGGGAUUUAAUUUCCUUAUUUUUGUAGGUUUAUCUUCUAUGAAGUUGGUUACAGUCUCAUAAUUUAGACUACAAGUUUUGAAAAAUAGGUUGAGUUCAUUUUAUUUUUUUAGGUUAUUUUUAAAAACUGAUAUUUUUUUUUAAAUCAUCUUUCAACAUUGGGUUGGUUAGGGGUUGAAUUUCAUGAAUUUGUUUUUGUAUUAUUUCAAUCUCAUGUCUUGAGUCGUAAUUUAGUGGGUUAACACAUGUCCUUUUGUUUUUCCAUUGUUUUUUUUAUAUUGGAUUGUUUUUCUCAGUUUUGCCCUUCAACAUUACAUUAUCUGAGAUUUGAGCUUUGUUGUUUUAUUCUUUUUUUUUUUACAAGGUUAUCCUGGUCUCAGGAUUAGGUUAUGUAUUUGGCUAACUGACUUGAGUGGAUCAGUCAAGUCAUUUUUUUUGUUUUCUUUUUUAAUUUAAUUUUUUUUUAAUUGUGUCCUUUAACAUUUGAUUGCUUAGAAUUGAGAUUCAUAUUUUUUUUAUAAGGUUGUCACAGUCUCAUUUGAUUUUUUUGCUUCGUUAUCAAAUACUAUGAGGAUAUAUUUUUGUAAUAUUGACAAGCGUUCUUUUUUUUACUUGAUCAUUGUGAAUUUUUUUUAGUUCGAUUUGUUUAUUGUUGUUGUCUAUUUUUUUAAUUAUAUUAUUAAAUUAAUUAUAUUUAUUCAACUAAGGCAACUUAACAACCUAAGUCUUUAAUUAUUUUUAUUUAAAAAAAAACAACUUGGUUGGCCGGAAGAAUUGUCAUCUUCAAUGUCGGAUGACAGAGGCAAACUAUAUUCUUUGAUCUAAAGUUUGACAGGAAGCUCUUUCCUUCAAAUUUAUAGAAGUUCUGGUUAAAAACACUCUUAGCUAUGGCUGUCUUUCCAACUCCGCCAAUUCCAUAGAGUAAAGCAAUGUCAGCACCAUGGGAUCCAUCUUGCAACCAUGAGUUGAUAUAUUGUACCAGAGGAUCUCUUCCAAUGAAAUGAAGGGGGACAUGAAAUAUUUUUUGAUCCAAAUGCUUUGAGACAUUCUCCACAAUAGAUUGGACAAAUUGUGCCUUGUAACUACAUCAAAACGUAAAGUACAAUUUACGAUAAUUGCUAGUCUCUCUCUAAAGGAUAAAAAUAGACAUCAUUUAGCUAAGAAAUUAAAGCAGGUUGCAUGUCAAUGAUUGAUAGUUAAAUUUGUAGGUGCGUUAUCACCACCUACUAAAACCAAAUCAUGUUUGGAAAAAAAAAAAAAACAAACAAAAAAAAAAAGAAAUUAUAAGUAUUUUUUUUUCUUUUAUGUUUUCUUAUCGGUCUUCCUUUAAAUACUUAACUGAAAGAAAUUAAGAGUUCACGACCAGCACUCUAGUCUUAUGCUUUGUGUAGUUUAAUCAAGAGAUGCAACUUACCCAUCUCUUAAAUCCAUUCCAGCUAAAUCUGCAACUUCCUUCAAAGCAAUCCUCCACCCCUUCACCCGCUCUAUCUCCUCCUUGAAGCGCUUUUCUUGUUCCACAAAUGCUGCAGCGAAGCUCCCUGUUUGAUUUCUGACUUCAGAUGGAUUCACAUGGUAGAAUACCGGCAAAACUAUGGAGCCGGCAGUCCUCUUAUGUUCCAUGAUCUUUACAAGUUCAUCGAGGCACCAUCUCGACCGAGCAUAGUCUUUGGAGAACACGAUUAUCGAUAUUUUCGAUUCUUGUAUUGCCUUCUGGAGCUCCAACUCUAUAUUCUCUCCUCUCCGAAUCUCGUCAUCAUCUCUAAAUGUGUGAAACCCUGCUUGAACCAGGGCCCAGUAGAGGUGAUCGGUAAAGUUCUUGCGGGUGUCUUCACCUCUAAAACUCAAGAACACUUGAUAUUUACAAUUAGAAAACCGAGAAGAGUAGGAUUCUUGAUAUUUCUCAGCAGCCAUUUCGAGUCUAGCAAAGAUAAGACUUUACAAAGAUCUGGACAAAAAAAAAGAAAUUGCAGGAUUAAAGUCGAUAGUUCAAGAUCGACAGCACACCAAUAAGCUGAAGUGUUCAUAUAUUAUUAUCUUACUUUGUCUGUAAGACAAUUUUCAAGUUAUUUCCCAGCAAUCAACUCCUCCAUGCCCUUUCAGAAAAAUAUGUGUACAUAUGAUAAAUUUCUAUGCUGAACCACCAAAAUCGGUUGAUGAGAUCAUCAAUAAUUAGUUUCUAACAGUGAAUUAAUCUAAGUGAUUCUCAGUUACAGCAGAGUUACAUUCCACAAUAUAACAUAAUACUAAAUAGAUAAGAGAGAGAGAGUACCUGUAAUCUUCACUUUCCCUUCGCUGAUGUUCUCUUGUUAGUUCAUCAAUUUUCUGCUUUUAAGUCUCUGUGGUAUGGGCCAUUUCCGCGUUAGGACCUGUUUACUGGGGCCUGUAAUUCUUGUUACAAUUACCAAAAGGGACAUUAGACACACACAAAACACAUAAUCCCUCUCAUCAACUCACACGGUUCUUCUUCCUUCACCCACCAGUAAGAAAAAGGCACGUGCAGGAUCAAGCCUCUUCAUAUCUGACUUGGAAAGUUUAUUAGCCUGUAAUUUUGCAUCAUUUGAAUUGAUUCUAGCCUUUUCUUUCUGUUGAAAGCAAAGUAGAUAUAAGAAGAAUUACUCGGAAAAACAAAGCAAUUCCAUAGGUGAAAACAUGUCAGACUUGAUUAUAUUGGCAAAGAGUUGCUAGUGGGCACUCCGUAUAAAAUGCUGGCGAUGAUCAUGUUGGAAAUGCAGAGUGUUUAACUGAGAGUCCUGUCUUGAACUCUGAGGCUGAGAAACAUCAGUUGGUUUCUUCAAACUGGGACAACAACUACUAAAGAAGUAUGCAAAACUGGGGAAAGACAUACUGAAGAAUUUUGGAUGGUUAGAUCUCGGGAGGAAGGUUUAUCCUCGGGAGGAUGGAUUGCAUAUUCGACUUCCUAUCACUGAAGACCAAGAACACCCAUAAUUAUAGGAAGACUUCCAAAAAUAUUCAAUUUUUAUUCAUUUGUCAAAUCUAGAAUUUUUAAACUCAACCCGGUUCAAGGUCUUUGGUCACUAGGUUGCCUAGGUAAAUUUUGAUUUUUUUUUAAAAUCAAAACAUCAUUUUAGUAAGAAAAAAGUCAAUGAGUUGAAACUGGAUUUUUAACCAAGUUUUACCGGGUCAUCUCGGGUUUUGAUUUUUUCUAUUUUUUCUUAAACUCGGCUUGGUUCCAGCCCCGGGUCUCGGACCGGGUUUCAAAACUAUGAUCAAACCUAUUACAACCCUUUAUAUAGAAAUACUAAAAACAAAAACCCUUAUUAAUGUUAAAAAAAAAAAAUAGAAAAAUUAUUCUAUUCAAAUAGAAAAACUAAAAAAGCCCAGAAAUACAUAAUAGGAAAAGAAAAUAUAAAAAAAUAAAUUAACUAAAAAAAUAUUUAUUUCCAAUGAACUGGAUAGCAUGAAUUUGUUCAAUCAACUCGCCACCUAGUUUUUUAAAAACUCAAUCCAGAACAUUUCUCAACUUUCUCAAAUUGACUUGUAUAUAUUACACACACCCAACCUCUAACCCUCCCAUCUCUUCAUUUUUAUUAACUCAAACUCCUUUGUUUAUUGCUCUUGUAGGCUCAAGCUGAGCUGAACUCUGAACUAAGCUUAGUCCCGAGAAAACAGAGAAACUUCCCCCACACUUCCUCUCCUCUCAAAAACAAACCUCCCCAGUCCCCUCUCUCUCUCUCUUUCAUUAUCCAACAAUAUGGAUAGGCCACAAAGAAUAUCCACGAAAGAACCUCAAGCAAUCCUCUCUCCAUGCAGCAGUAGAAGUAGGAGACCAAGCAGUGAUUCAAACUCACCCGAAUUUGAGUUCUGGAUCCAAAACCCAUCUUUCCCUCAACCAAAUCUUGUUUCAGCUGAUGAACUCCUCCUUGUUGAUGGCGCCCUCCUCCCUCUCCACCUCCUCCACCACCCUGACCCUGACUCAACCGAACCCAAACCUCCCAACUCUCAAACUAACCCUGAACCCGAAAUUUCACCACCAAGCAUAACCAUGGAGCCAACAACAAGUUCCAAGAGUUGGGAAGGUACAAUAUUCAAGAAAGGUGACAGGAAAACUUCAACAGCUGCCAAGAAACAAGACGAGAAAAAUAAAGAAAAUGACAAAAAGAGAGACAGGAGUCAAAUGGAACGAGUUCAGCUAAGCUGAAUACCAACAUAUGGCCAUUUUCUUUUAGUUAGUUUACAGUAAAAAAGAAAUACAUAUAGAAAAAAAUAUAAAUAUAUUUAGUUGGAGAAACAAAAAUAUAAAAUAAAUCUAUUUUAGGAACAGUUUUAAAAUAAAUUUUUAUUUUUUUCAAAUAUGAGAUACGGGGAGAUAUCUCCUUCGUUCCCCCCUGUUCUCUGUUUCUUUUUUUCUCUUCGUUCCUCCCUCUUCUCUGUUUUUAUCUUCGUCCCUUCUGCCUCUCUUCCCUUCCUGUUCUGUGUUUGCUCUGUUCUUGCUCUUCGAUCCCCCUCCAUGUUCUUUUUUUUUCUUUUUUUUUAAAAAACCCUCCCUAUAGCCAGAGAAUGCCAUGCGGUUACCCAGAUAAUAAAGAGCUUAUGGGACUGUUAUUGCAGAAGUUUGAAAUUCUACAGAAGGUAACCUUGUGUAUGUGCAACAGCACAGGUCGAGCUUUUAAUACCUCCAUCACUGCCAUCGGGCCACUCCCACCGCCUCCUCCACUCAGUUCUUAAAAAAGAAGCAAAGAUGGGGUUUGUGAGGGUCUACACAAAACCACAGCUCUGCGGCGUUGGUCAUGCUCUUCAAGAUGAGGUUGCCGUCUAUUUCUCCUCAGACAUACUCAGCAAUUUCUUCAAGAUUUAAACCUGAAAUACUUUUAGCACUUGAUAUAGCUCCAACAGCCAACCAUUAAAAAGUCCAAGUGAUCAGAACUUUGUGGCUUUCGCGUCUCCUAGAACAACUGUUGCUGUCAAAAACCAGGGAAAUGAAAAACACAUUUCAAGAUCCUCAUAAUGUUGAUAAAAAGAGGGUCAAAAUGUUUGAGGUCAUGGGUGACAGUGCAGUGCUGGUAUAUGAAAACCAUGAUCAUGAUCAUUAAUCGAAAUCAUGAACAAAUUGCGUCUUUUGAUUCAGGAUAACGAGACUUUCAAACCAUGAUCUUAAAAUAACUGUUUUUUUAUGAAAAGAAAGAGUCUCAUAGGCAGUCAAAGUUAUUGGAUACUAUAGAAAAUUUUACGAUUUCCACUUUUUGUUAUUGAAUUUUAAUUCUAUCUUUUAAUUUGAUAAUUUUCAAUCAAAAUUAAUUUUUAAAUUUCUAAUUUUGAUAUUAAUUAUAUUUUAUUUUUACAAUAAAAAUAUCUAUGUUAAUUUAUUAUGAAAAUUUAAUAAAAUCCAUUCAAUUUUUAAUUAAAAUGAAAUAUAUUCAAAUUAUAAAAACCUCUCAAUUAUAUUUUAAAGACAUGCCUAUUUAUUUUUUAUUACAAGUGAACUUAUCUCGUGAGGAUAUAUAUAGAAACAAAAAAUUAAUUACCAAUUAAAUUUCAUCAUGUGUUACUUUUAUUUUUACAUAAAAAGAUGAAAUAAAAUAGAUAAAAUAACAUGAAAAAAAUGGACCUUUACAUAUAUUUUGGUCAAUAGAAAAUUGACACAUAAAAUAAGAUAUUUAAUACAUCUUAUUAUAAAUAUAAGAUUUUAUAAAUAAAAAUUAAUUAAUAAAAUAAUAUCAUAUUACAUUUUUUAAUAUGAAAGCCCUUAUAAAUAUUUAUAAAUAAAAGAUCUCAUGCUAGACAAAGAAAGGAGGAAGAUUACUAUUUUCUAGACCUUUCUUUGCAAAAUACCACCAACAGAUAUUGCGAGGACUGUAUUUACCAUGGAAAGCACAAUAAUAAUUUCUAAAAACACGAGAAGCUAUUUUUACUCUGGCUACAUCUUCCUUUGAUUGGAUAUCAUUUCCUUCCUCUUCAUGCAACCAUUGUACACCAACGGUCCUUAAUUGGAUAGCUGGACCAAGUGGACGCACUGAAAUACUCACGUCAUCACCAUUAUCAAAUGUAGGAUCAUUGCCCCCUAAUUUCAUGUGCAAUAGCGAUUGGAUUUCACGAACACCACGCUUGUAUAUCAUAGAGAUGACAAAGGCUCGACGAAGCAUGGAUAGACCACUGGUAUUGUUUCUGAUUUCAAUAUAAACAUAACUAAAGCCACGGUAUACUGACGUCACACAACUUAUGAACAGAUUAUAGCCACAUAUCUUGUGCGCAGGAGGUGAUGAGGAUAUUUUGAAUGAAAAGUUAUCUACAAACUCAUUCUGAAUUAGCCAUUUAUCCUCUUCUUCCUCCUCGUAAAACCACCUUGACUUCUCUUCUUCAUCAAAUACAGAUGCGACAACGUUGAAUACGCCAUCUGUAAAUAUUAUCUGUACCACCAAAACAAUGUCUAUAAAAUGAGCAAAAGAAAAGUAUUCAAAUGUAGAUUUCCAAAACAAUAAAAUGGGUAAGGGAGGACCUGCAAUCUUGAUGUCUGUAUUUGAGCACUAACUGUUUCCAUUGUUCUGAACAUGUGAGAGUCAAAUAUUUGGAUUAAAUCUUGCUUUAUCCGAUCUUGAAACUCGACUAAGUGAACUGGCUUUCCAAGGUAUUGCAGUGAAUAGCAAGAGGCCACAUCUAACGAAUCCAAAUGGGGUGGAAACUCUGGGAGUGCCUGAAGCAUUUUGCAAUUUCUUAAAUAUAGGGCUCUGAGGAGACCAAGAUCCUUGAUGCUUUCUGGAAGAAAACGAAUUGGAGUUCCACUUAAAUCUAGACUCUCCAAUAAGCGUGGCAGUGAAAACAAGGUAAAUCUCAACAUUUUCCUCGUUGAAAACCUAGAGGAAAAAGAAUAGCUUCAAUGGAAGGGUUGAAAUGAAUGAUGUAGUUGCAACAAUUCCAUCACUUUGAAGCAACUUGCGCCCCUGUUGAUGCUCUAACUCCAUAUUCAGGCUACCAAGAUUUGAGCAACCAUCUAAAACCAGCUCUUGAAGUGAAUUCAAUCUACUCAUUUCUUUUGGAAGCUCCAUAAGACUUGUACAAUUUCUUAUAUUUAAGAUCAACAAUCUUUGUAAAUCACCAAUAGAUUCGUGAAUUUGAACCAAACGGAUGCAGUCUUCAAGUAUUAGCUUUUCAAGGGCUGGGAGACCCGAGAAGUCUGGGGUUCUAAUGAGAUCACGAGAGUGACGGAGAUCAAGAAUUUUCAAUUUUGGAAGAAACUGUGAAAAUACAUGAAUUUAGUUAUUAUCAAUUGAAAACGAGAGAGAUAGCUAUAGAGAGACUUGAUACAUACCGGUUUGGCCUUCCAAGCAUCAACUAGACAGCUUCUGGAUAGAUCAAGAACCACCAGCUUCUCCAAGCAUAUGUGAUUUGGUAUGGAGCUCCAAGACAAACCAUGCCAACAUAACCAUAUCAAAUUCUUGGGAAAGUGCUCAAAACUUCCAUGAAAAUUAGUGUAGUUUAGUUGGAGAAAUUUUACAUCUGGCAUCUUUCUAAAAGCAUCCGUGCUGAGGAUGGGAAACAAACUUGUUUGGCCAGUUUGUAAUUUUCCUCCAUCAGAAAAAUCGGAAAGCCAUUGUUGAAAGAAGUUAAGCCUGCGGCGCUUGCGACAAACCAUUGAAUCAGUACAGACAACUUCUGCAUAAUGAUAUUCCAUUAAUGAAUGCAUAUCAAUGGUAAGGCCACGCAUUUUUUCAGCAUCCUGCAUAAUAAUAUUAAAAAGUACAUGAGAAAGGAAAGUAGAUGAAUGAAUAUGUCAAGGCACCACAAACCAUUUAAGUAGACAUUUAAAAAAAUUUAGCUACUUACAGUAGUUCCUUUCAAAACUGUAAAAGCAUCCCCAUGAUGCCAUAUUCUUUGCCAUUUGGGUGAUUCUUGACGAGCAAUUUCCCUACCCAUAUCUCUUACUAGUUGAUGCAUCCACAACCUUUGAUCACUGUUGAUUUCAACAAGACAUCUAUCGAUGAGAUUGUCAAUCCCAAAUCUUGCACCUCUAUCAAGCCCAUCCAGUAUCCUAACUGCAUCAUCCACAUCCAUUCCAUUGAAGAAACAUGUGAUGUCAAGGAAUAAGUUCUUCGGAUAAUCACCAUCAAGAAAGUCGUAACUUAUUCGAAGAACCUUUUGAACUUCAAAAUUAGGAAUCACUUCCAUUUGUUGUAAUGCGCUUUCCCAUAUCUCUCUUCCUUUUCCAGACAAUGAAGAGCCAAUAACUCCAAGAGCUAAUGGAAGUCCAUUACAAUGAUGUACUAUUCUCCAAGAGUCUUCUACAAAACCAUCAACAGGGUCAGCUUGUCCAAAGGCAUUCCAACUGAAAAGCUCAAGUGAUUUUUCAUCAUCUAGCGGUUCAACUUUGCACCGGACCCCCUCAAUAUCAUUAGCUGAAAACAGACCCUUAUUUCUGGUUGUUACAAUGAUUUUACUUCCUUUACAAAGCCAAUUUUGCAUGCCAAUGAUUUUAUUGAAUUGGUCCCUUUUGUCCACAUCAUCUAGAACAAUAAGAGUUCUUCUGCAACAUAAUGCAUCCUUAAUCUUCAGAAUUCCUUCAUCAGAAUCAUUUAUCUCAACAGUCUUGUUUAGGAUGUCGAAAAGAAGUUGCCUCUGUAGGCAAACUAUAUCCUUUGACCUAAAAUUUGAUAGAAAGCUCUUUCCUUCAAAUUUAUAAAAGUUCUGGUUAAAAACACUCUUAGCUAUGGUUGUCUUUCCAACUCCACCAAUUCCAUAGAGUAAAGCAAUGGCAGCACCAUGGGACCCAUCUUGCAACCAUGAGUUGAUAUCUUGUACUAGAGGAUCUCUUCCAAUGAAAUGAGGGGGUACAUGAAACAUUUUUUGAUCCAAAUUCUUUAAGACCUUCUCCACAAUAGAUUGGACAAACGGUGCCUCGUACCUACAUCAAAAAGUAAAAUACAAUGUACGAUAAUUAGUAGUCUCUCUAUAAGCAAUAGAAAUAAACAACAUUUAGCUAUGAAAUUAAAGCAGGUUGUGUGUCAAUGAUUUGAUAGUUUAAACCAAAUCAUGAUUGGAAAAAAAAACAAUGAAGAAAUCAUGAGUAUUUUUUUUUUUUGUUAUAUGUUUUCUUAUCAGUACACUUAACUGAAAGAAAUUAAGAGUUCACAACCAGCAUUCUAGUCUUAUGCUAUGUAUUGUUUCAUAAAGAGAUACAACUUACCCAUCUCCUAGAACCAUUCCAGCUAAAUCAGCCACUUCCUUUAAAGCAAUCCUCCACCCAUUCACCCGCUCCAUCUCCUCGUUGAAGCUCUUUUCAUGUUCCACAAAUGCUGCAGAGAAGCUCCCUGUUUGACGUCCGACUUGGGAUGGAUCCACAUCAUAGAAUACUGGCAAAACUAUGCAGUCAGCAUUCCUCUUACGUUCCAUGAUCAUUACAAGUUCAUCCAGGCACCAUCUCGACGAAGCAUAGUCUUUGGAGAACACGAUUAUCGAUAUUUUUGAUUGUUGUAUUGCCUUCUGGAGCUCGAAAUCUAUAUUCUCUCCUCUCCGAAUUUCAUUAUCAUCUCUAAAUGUGUGAAUCCCUGCUUGAACCAGGGCCGUGUAGAGGUGAUCGGUAAAGUUCUUGCGGGUGUCUUCACCUCUAAAACUCAAGAACACUUGAUAUUUACAAUUAGGAAACCGUGAAGAGUAGGAUUCUUGAUAUUUCCCAGCAGCCAUUUCGAGUCUAGCAAAGAUAAGACUUUUCAAAGAUCUGAACAAAAUAAAACAGUUUUCAAGAUUGAGAGAGAAAGGGUGGAUUGUUAAUUUAAGACAAGUCAUCCCCACAAGUCCACUCUCUCUAUGGUAUGGAACGUUUCCGCGUGAGGAAUUUUCCAUGGCUAAUUAAUGUCUAGGCUUGACCAGUUAUGCAUGGAAAAUUUUGCAUGGAAAGUUUUGGUGCCGGGAAUUGAUGGCUAUUGACAUCGUGAAGUAAGAAUCAAGUUAGAAAAAUAUAAUUAAUAGGAGAAGUUUAUGGCUAUUCACAUCAUUUCGGCCAAAAAUUCUAUCGAAAAAUUAAGGGGUAAGAAACCCAGACGAUAAGGAUUGCAUAAUGACAUAACAGAAAACCAUGUGAAUAGAUCAAAGCCACAUAUCCACUGGAUAUUUUGAAUGACAAGUACGUACUCUACAAACUCUUUCUAAAGUAGCCACUCCUGUUCUUCCUCCUCGUGAAACCACAUUAACAUCUCAUUUUCAUCAUAUUCAAGGACAAUGUUGAAUCUGUUGCCCUAAAGUUGUAUCUGUUCCAUCAAAGCAGAAUUUAUAAAAUGAGCGAAGGGAAAAUUUUCUAGAUAUACAAGAACAAAAAACGUAGAGUUUAAAUAAAGCAGAACUUAUAAAAUGAACAACGGAUUAAAUUUUGGAAGAGACUGUGAAAACACUUGAAAUCGGUUGCUGUCCAUUGAAAAUAAAAGAGACUAGAUACAUAACGGUUUGCCUUUCCAAGCAACAAUUAGACUGGUUCUGGAUUAGAUAAAGAGCCACAAGCUUCUCUAAGCAGAAGUGCUUUGGUUUGGAUCAUGUAAAAACCCAACCCUUUUAUUUUAAUUUAUUAUUAUUAUUUUCCUUGAAAAAAAAAUAAAUGAAGAAUGAAUUAAAAUUUAGAUUAACAGCAAGUACAAGUUUUGGGAUUUAAUUAAACUUUGUAUUAGUUUUAUUAACCAAAUUAAGAAUUUAAUUGAGGAAUUGAUAAGUUUGGGACUUAAUUGAACUUCAAAUUAGUUAAUUAAUGAAAUCAAGAGCUUAAUUAAAUAAAUAUCAAAGUUUAGGGUUGAUUCUAGGUAAAAUUGCAAGAAAUUAAAAUUAAAGGACCCAUUUACAAUUGGCGUUGACAUGUAGGAGUCCAAUUAAAGUUUAUCCAGGAGCUUGCUUACAAAUCUUUCAGACCAAAACGAAAAUGGCCAUCAACACUGUUCAUCUUCUUCAGCGAACCAAACCAGAAACGGACUCCCCACGAUCCCAAUUACUCCUGCAAUAACAACGGUCGGUCGCCUCAUUAUUUAGAGGCGACUGCAUGGCAUUCUCUGGCUUUAUAAAAAGCCAGAGAAAGACCAUGCACACGGGGGACUGGGGGAAGGAGAAACGUAAAGAAGAACAGGAAAAAAAAAAAAAAACAGAAGAGAGAAACAAGGGAUGACAGAGAAGAGAUUGAAGAUAAAAACAGAGAGAAAGAACGAACAUCAGUGAAAAACUAAAGGGACGCCCUUGUCUUCUUCUUUGGUGGCAGCUCCAAAAGCUCCAUUUUCAGCAGCAAAGGUUAUUGCUUGAGAAGACCAAAAAAUACAGAGGGAAGAACUGGAAAAGGGAACAAACCAGGGGACUAAGGAAAAACCAAAAGAACCCGGGAAGGAAACAGAGGUAGAUACCCGGGGAGGACAAAGAAAAAAAAAAGCAGCCGAACAGAGGAGAGGGAGUGAAAGUAGGAAACACAGAAUCCGCAGAGAAGAACAGAGCAUAUACGGGGAGACUAAAAGAAAAAUAGAGAAAAACAAACACAGGCAAAGGUUGCACCGAGAGAAAGCAAAAGAAAAGAAAGAACCAGAGGAAAAGUAAACGAAAGGAGGAACAGCACGCCAUCGCCUUCAUCCUGCUCCCAGGUAAGUGUCUCCAAUUUUGCAAAAUAAUUCACCAACACUGUGUAUUAGAGAUUUAAUUACAUGGAAACUGUAGUGUCGCACCCCAAAAAAUAACAAAAAAAAAAUUUGUUUUUUGCGACAUUCGACUGGCGACUUUCGUUUUGUUCUUUUUUUGCUGAUUUGGUUCUUUGGAGUCGCCACCUAGUAUUUUGGUCACUAGGAACCCUAACUGGUCUUUCAGAGAUUCUAAGGCAAGGGACUGGUUGCGUAAAGGGAAGGUAUUAGCACCCCUAGUACGCCCUAUCUAAGGUAAGCUGUUUGGUGUUUUGGUUUGCUCUAUAAUUGCUAUGGUGUUGGUAUUUUCUAGACUCGUCAAUUGAUUUUGGAUAGAAAUCUAAGGAGAUUCCAUGUGCUUUAAAAGCUCAUUUUUCCCUUAGUAUUUCAAGAGUUUGCGACUCAUAAAUCGUGGAAAUAAAAAAAAAUUAAAAUUUUAAAAUGUCCUCGAUUAUAAUCAAGGCUUCUUUCAAGAAUAUGUGCGGAUUUAUUACUCCCGAUAAUAUUUUGGAUAUUCAUCAUUUUAAGGAUUUCUUUAUCCAAACAUUAGCGGUGAAUAAUAAAUAAAUUUCCUCCCCAAAAAUAAGAUUUUUAUAGUUUUUGGAAUAUUGGUCAAUACCCUUUGAAGUUUUACAAACAUGUUGUAAAAUCCAGAAAUGCAAGAAAAUAAUUUGUGUUUAAGAAAUCUAUGCGAAAACACACUUUCGAAGCUUCCAAUAUAUUUUUUUUUAUAAAAAGAACAUUCAAAACAUGUUAGAGUAUUGGCCGUAUGCAGCACGCAACAAAACAUUUUUUUUUGUAAACAAUAUAUUUUUUUUUUGACGAAAUCGAGUAUUUUAAUACUGAAUUUGUAUCUCCACAGCAUAAAAAAUACAAACUAAUAUUAAGUCAUUUAAAAAAAAUGUACGGAAAAAAUCAACAAUAUUUUUAAGGAAUUUUAGAAUUUUUUUUUUAAAGCAAAAAAAAUUUAUCUUUGAAAAUUUUGGGUGUCUCGACGAAAAUCAGAUAUUUUAAAUACUGAAUUUAUACCUCCACAAUAUAAAAAAAUACAAACCCCCUUAAAAAAAAAAUAUAUAUAUAUAUAUAUAUGAAAAGAAAACAACAACAUUUUUUAGAUUUUUCAAAUUUUUUUUUUUUAAAAAAAAAUAUAUAUAUAUAUAUAUAUAUAUAUACACACACAUAAUAUAAUAUAAUAAUAUAAUAUAAUUAUAAUAUAUUAAUAUAUUAAGGGGGCUGGGCCGGCCCAAAUAAAUGGGCCAGGCUCAGCCCAAAAAAAAAAGGGCCGACCUCGGCCCAAAAUUAAAUUGGGUCGAUCUCGGCCCAAAAACUUCUACAGUCUGGGCCAGGACCGACCCAGACUUGCAAGGCUGGGCCAGCACCCUCGGCCCAGCGGAGGGAAGAAUUAAUUUUCUUCCCCCCGCUUCCUGCAUGCAGGAGGCAACGCCUGCUUCGAAAGCAAAGAGGGAAGAAGAAGAUGUACCUGGCGUGGAGGAGGCGGUCGCUGGUGGUGCUGCGGUGGCGUGGCUCGUGGACGGCGGCGCUGCGGCUGUUUCCAAGUGUUCGGUUCGCUCUCUCUCUCUCCUCCCUUCUCCCUGUUUCGGUUCUCUCUUUUUUUCUUUUGUUUUCAGUUUAGUUCCAAUAUUCCCUUCUCUCUCUCUCGUGCGUGCUCUCUCUUUUCCUCCCUUCUCGGUUUGUUGUUUUUUUUCUUUUUUGUUUCCCCGGUCCUCCCUUUUUCUUCGGUUUUCCUUCCUAUUUAUAGGGGCGAAAAGACGAUGCCUUUUGCUAGUGCGCCUUGGGAGUAAAUCACGCAACGGCUGGUCGGCCAUUGACGCGUUCGGUGGUGAUGGUGGGGGCGAGGAGAGAGAGGCGGGAAGGUUUGAAAACGGAUUUCUUCUUCUUUUGCAGGUUCGGGGGGGGAAGAAGAAGAGGAACAGUGUCGUUCAAAACGACACCGUUCCGGUCUCUUCUUUUUUUCUUUUUUUCUUUAACAUGAAACGGCGUCGUUUUGGACAAAACGCGCCGUUUCAUUAAAACAGGGCGCCAACACGCGCCAAACUUCAAAUCAGCCCUCAAUCAUCUUUAAUUCAUUUCAAUUGCAUCCCUGCCAAUUCAGUCCCCGUCCCUCUUGUUGGCCGCGUUUUUCACUUUGGUCCUUGGCCUCUGAUUUAUGCAAUUAAGCCCUCAAAUUGAUCAAUAAACUUCCAAUUUCUUCAAUUAGGCUCCUGAUCCAAAGCAAAACUGCCCCCUCUAUUUACCUGGUUUUUCCAAAUUGAUCCCUGGUUUCGGUUUUUCACAAUUAAACCCCUAAUUGGCCAUUAAACUUCAAUAUUUAUUCAAUUAAGCCCCUGAUUUGGCCUAAUAAAUUCCUAAAAAUAUAUAUAUUGGCCCCAGAACUUAAAUUUCUUCUAAUUAAAGCCCAAAUUGACUUAAAAAUCAAUUUUUCUUGCAAUCAAAUCCCCUAUAAAAUCAAUUAAAAAUCCAAUUAAGUCCAUAAACAUCCAAACUUGGGCUUUUCUCCUCAAAAUUCAAAUUUCCUUCUCAACAGGGCUCUCAUCCUUCAAGAAUAUACUGUCAAAAAUUCAAUCCUUGUAUUUUUAAAUUCCUUGACCAAUUUUCUGACUGUUUUCUGAGCGCUUCUGCCUCCUGUUAUUUUUUCUAACCUCUUUUGGCUAUUUAUAUUAUUUUUCAUGGGGACCAAUUCACACAUGUUUGUGGGUAAAAACCUAACCCAAAAAAAUAAAAAUAAAAAUAAAAAUAAACAACUAAAAUAAAAUAAAAUAAAUGUAUGCAUGCAUGCAUACAUAAAAAAUAAAUUUGGUUUAUUGGUUUAUUUACUGAUAUUAGAAUCAUAAAUAAAAAUACUUAUUUAAAUUUAUUUUAUUAUAUUUUGUUAUUAUUAUUUUCUAGCUACGUAAUAUUUACUAACGCCAGAGUUGAAAAUAUUUAUAGAUGAAUAUUCACUGAUGCUAUUGUCGGGAAUAUUACAAGCAAACCAUCAGAGCAUAAACCAAUAAAUUUUUAGGAAUUUAAGAUAAAAUCAACAAUGCAACCUGUCAUAGACAGAAAGUUUAAGAGCUGAUAAUAUCUUCUCUUUUAUAUAACCAGUUUUGUACCAUAAAAUCUCUGUUGACUAGUUAGGGUUCUUAGUGACCAUAAUACUAUAUGACAACUCUUUAAACAAGAUCAUUACCCAUAAAAAAACAAGAUGUUAAAUGUCUGUUUUUUUUUCUUAUAAAAUUUCAUUUUUACAUGGUCGCGCGAAGUCCAAUGUGACAUAUCUUAAAGGGAAUCCAUGCCAACAUAACUACAUCAAAUUCUUGAAAAGUGUUCAUAACUUCCAUAGAACUUGUGUAAUUUAGCUGGAGAAAUUUUACAUUUUACAUCUUUCUAAAUGCAUCCGUGCUGAGGACAAGAAACAAACUUGUUUGGUUAAUUUGUACUUGUUCCCCCAAGAAAAACUCAGAAAGCCACUAUUGAGAGAGGAGUGUAGGAAGAAGACACUGUUGAAAGAAGUUAAGCCUGCAGCGGUUGCAGGCGCACCAUUGAAUCAGUACAGACAACUUCUGUACUUAUUCAUGCAUAUACAAGGUACGUAAGGCCACACAAUUUUUCAGCAUCAUGCUUCCAAAAUAUUGAAAGUAAAUGAGAAAAGAAAGUAAAAGCAUGAACAUUUUAAGACACCUAAUACCAUGAAGAUAGGAAAACAGAACCAGUUACUCUUACACUUGUUUCUUUCAAAACUGUAAAAGCUUCCAUGUGUGAUGCCAUAUUCUUUGACAUUUGGGUGAUUCUUGACGAGCAAUUUCUCUUCCCAUGUCUCUUACAAGUUGAUGCAUUUAUAAAUUUUUUUCAUUUUAUUUUAACAAUUUCUACAAGACAUCAAUCGAUGAGAUAAUCAAUCCUAAAUCUUGCAUCUAUACCGAACCCAUCAAGUGUCCUAACUGCAUAAUUCUCAUCCAUUCCAUUGAAGAAAUAAGCAAUAUCAAGGAAUAAGUUCUUCUGAUAAUCAUCAUCAGGAGAGUUCUAACUUUUUGCAAGAACCUUUUGAACUUGACAAUUUGGAAUCACUUCCAUUUCAUGUAAUGCGCUUUCCCAUACUUUUCUGGUUUUACUAAAAAAUGAAGAACCAAUAGCACAAAGGGCUACUGGAAGUCCAUUACAAUGAUGUACUAUUCUCCAAGAUUCCUCUAUAAAAUCUUCAACUGGGUAAGCUUGUCCACAGGCAUGCCAACUCAAAAGAUUAAGUGAUUUUUUGUUAUCUAGAGGUUCAUCUUUGCACUUGACACACUCACCAUCAGCUACAAUCAAAGCCUUAUUUCUAGUUCUUACAAUGAUUUACUUCCUUGGCGAAGCCAAUUUCUAGUUCUUACAAUUUCUAGUUCUUUCAAAACUAUAAAAGCUUUCAUGUGAUGCCAUAUUCUUUGACAUUCGGGUGAUUCUUGACGAGCAAUUUCCCUUCCCAUAUCUCUUACGAGUUGAUGCAUUUAUAACUUUUUAUCAUUUUUUAUUUUAACAAUUUCUACAAGACAUCAGUCGAUGAGAUAGUCAAUCCUAAAUUCUAGUUCUUACAAUUUGCACUUGACACACUCACCAUCAGCUACAAUCAAAGCCUUAUUUCUAGUUCUUGCAAUGAUUUACUUCCUUGGCGAAGCCAAUUUCGCGUGCCAACAAUUGCAUUGAAGUGGUCCCAUUUGUCCACAUCAUCAAGAACAAUAAGAUUUCUUCUGCAACAUAACGCAUCCUUAAUAUAAUCCCUCCAUCAACAUCAUGUAUGUCAUCAGCAUUGUUUAGGAUAUCUGAAAGAAGUUGCCUCUGUAGGCAAACUACACCAUUGGAUUCUUUUGACUAUUCUCUAACAUUUGAUGGAAAGAUCCUACCUUCAAACUUAUGAAACUGCUGGUUAUAAACACUAUUUGCUAUGGUUGUCUUCCCUACUCCACCAAUCCCAUAGAGUAUAUCAAAGGCAGAACUGUGGGAGCCACAUUCUUCCAACCAUAAGUUGAUAUGUUUUACUAGAGGAUCUCUUCCAAUGAAAUAAAGAGGGAUAUGAAAUAUUUUACGAUCCAAUUUCUUUGAGACCUUGUCGACAAUAGAUUGGAAAAGCUGUGCCUCAUGCCUGCAUCAAAAAGAAAAAUGCAAUAUAUGAUAAUUAGUAAGUCUCUCUGUAAAGUUUCAAAAUCUUAGUAUCUUUGAAAAAAGAAAUUAAACCAGCAUUCUUUUUUUUAGUUGAUCAUUUUGAAUUUUUUUUUUGUUCGAUUUGUUUAUUGUUGUUGUCUAUUUUUUUUAAUUAUAUUAUUAAAUUAAUUAUAUUUAUUGAACUAAGGCAACUUAACAACCUAAGUCUUUAAUUAUUUUUAUUUAAAAAAAAAACCACUAUCAUCACCUCAACAUCUUUUUUACAUUGAAAAAAACUUUGCCCUGUAAUACAGUUCAGGUAAAUAAUCUAGUUACAGCUAAUCACGUGGCCACAAAGCCCCACUGGGAUUCAUAUUCCAUAAGAUGGCUCCAAUAUUCAUUCGAUGGUGUGUAUGGUAGGCUAGACAUGUGAAGCCCAUUAAUUGAUUCUGUCCAUAUUAUUUAUGUUAACCCGACCCGGUUGUGCUUUUUGAAGGUCCACCAGGCUUGUUCCCCUGUUCAGAUCUUAGCAAAAAAAUAUUGAGUGAUCGAUCUACAUGAGCAAUUUUGUUUGUUGCGUUAGCCAUGUUUCUUAUUUGUCAUGCAUGCUGUAAGGGGCAUUGGAAACCCUUUUAUACACAUGAAUUACUCGCUUCAGGAUGAGGAAAGUUUUAUAGCUUGUGGAUUUGAUUGAUUCCCAAUGGAGAAAGAAAAUCACUCAGAUUUUGUUGCAACUGGUCAAUACGGAAAAGACAUGCCUGUUGCAUAUGGAGAAAGUGAACGGUUGUUGGGAAAAGUUUUCUCACUUGCAGGAGAUAACUUGGAGGCCAUCGUGCAAGAGAUAAACCCACUUCCUUUCAGUAUACUCAAACCUUGGAUUCUAAUUCAAAUAGAAUCUUUCCACAAUUCAAUCUCAAGAAGGCCAUCGUUACGCACUCAUCAUGGUGCUUUGGAGACCAGAGGCAAUUUUCACUUCUUCACCUUCUCCAUAUGCUCUACAAAACUUCCUUUCCGGGAUCCUUGCUCCUUGGUUGCAGAGGAGAAAGCAUCUAGCAGUGAUAAUGAGAACUCUCCUGCAACAAAGGGUACUGGAGAGUUUCAAAAGAGGAUUUGUGAUAAAGGCACCAUGAAGGAGAAACGUGGAAAGCCAGUGGUUGCUUCAGAUAGACCUGGAAAAGGGGACAAGCUACACAAGCACAAUAUCCACCAUAGCGACGGUGCCAAAUAUAUGUCAUACUUGAAGAUAAGCAAGAAGCAGCACCAACUUGUUAAGAGCCUGAAGCAAUCCCAGUAAAAAAAAAUUCAAUCUAAACCUCUUAACUGUGCGUUAGGUGACCUUGAUAAUUUGCAUGUACAACCAUAUAAAGAAUUUGUGAAAGAGGAACAUAAGAAGUUGCAGGAGCAUUGGAUACAAUUGGCAAACGAAGAUCGUUCUGCAGCAUAUGCAGGCUGUGUUUCGGGAUCAGAUUGAUUAAGGUGCAAACAAACAUGGAGGAUGUGCUGGAAUAAUAAUGGAGCAAGAAACAAAGAAAUCGACAUUUCUGACUCUAUGGCAAUUCUGGUUUUAAUUAUCUCCCCACAGGAUCAGUCUCUGCAGUUUAUUUCUGUUGUUCAAAUGGUAUUUAGAAAACUUAGCUUAAUCAAAGAACAAAGGGCAUAACAAGAACAUCUAGGUUACUGUCAUCCCUCAAAUUUAUUUAUAUGCAAAAUAAAAAAUUACAAGAUCUUUAUCAUAAAAAAAAGAAUCAUAACAACCAUAAUUCCUUUCAUCUAAGGGAUUACAUAACUACAUAGACUUAUUCUAAAUCAAAAAAAAAAUAUCUAGAUAAACUCAAGUCUAAAAAUCAGAACAUAAAAAAAUACCAUAACAUAUAGAUAAAUAUGGCUGAAAACUAGCUGAUAACAAUUUCCUCCCUUUCUGUUGGCUACGAUCCUAAUCCUAUGUAUAUGAAUAUGGAAAAUAAUCAUGUCCAUUUAAACUCUGAUUCAGAUGAAGCUUCUCCACAUGUAUUUGAGUACUUCUGCAGCAUGCAUGUUGCUGAUGCUCCCAUUGAUCAGGGAGUCCCUAUCUCUUCUUCUAGUGGACAUGUUUGGUCAGCAGUUAGCAUACCCAGUUCAUAUUAACAUCUACUGGUGGAUUGUCACAGACACAUCAAGUUAAUGAACAGCAACGUUCCUAUUCGAUUGAUUUGGAAUUGAAAGUGCAUGAAGAAGACACCGGGAAAGAUUUGAUGCACGGAGAAUCUGAUGAUGGCCUUCUUAACUACUUCGAUGAGGCAAAAUAUGAUUUGGUUUGUGAGGGUGGUGUUAUUUUUACACUUGGCCAAGGACACUGACUCACAAAUCAAAUUGGCCUGCUUCAUACAAAAAAUUGAUGCAAAUUCAUAGCUGUACACUGAGUGCCAAAUUAUUUUAGGUUUUAAAAAGCUUUCAAUAUAACACCAAAUCUAAAACAAAUUCAACUCAGCCCAUCAUUAUUUUCACAUUUAAUUUCUUUUCAAAAAAACACAUAAUAAUUUCGUUAUCAAAAUCAUAACGGUCACUGCAAUAAUAAUUUCUAAAAAUAUGAGAAGCUAUUUCUGCUUUAGCUGCUACAUGUACAUCAUCACUAGUGUUUGAUGAGCUGCUAUCAUCAGUUCCUUCCUCUUCAUGCAACAUUCGUACACCAACCCUCUUUAUUUGAACAACCGGAUCAUCUGUAAACACUGAAACACUGAAUUCAUCACCGGUAUCAAACACAGGAUCAUUGGACCCAAAUUUCCAAUAGCUUAGCCAUAACAAUUCAGAUUUUUGAGCUGAAAAUUCUAUCGUAAAAAUUGAGGGGUAAAAAACCCAGAAUCUACCCUUGGUAUUGUUCCUGAUUUCAAGAUAAACAUGAAGAUACGGAUUGGAUACUGGCGUAGCAGAAAACCAUGUGAAUAGAUUAAAGCCACAUAUCCGGUGUGUAGCAGGUGAGGAUAUUUUGAAUGACAAAUGCGAUUCAAACUCUUUCUCAAUUAGCCCUUCCUCCUCAUAAAACCCCAACAUCUAAUUUUCAUUAUAUUCAAGGACAACAUUGAAUCUGUUGCCCUGAAGUUCUAUCUGUUCCAUCAAAGCAUAAAUUAUAAAAUGAGCAAAGGGAAAAUUUUCUAAAUAUCCAAGAAGUACAAAAAUGUAGAGUUGAAAUACAGUAAAAUGGGCGAGGGAGGAACUGAAAUCUCCAUGUCUGCAUUUGAACGCUGACCAUUUCAAUUAUUCUCAACAAGUGUGGGUCAACCUUUUGGGUUAAUUCUAGCUUAAUCAAAUCUUGCUUCUGAACUAAUUGAUCACAAUCACGAGCUAUGGUAAAAGGGAUCAGAUUUGCAAUUCUUUGCAGCGAAUAACAAUAGGACAUGUCUAACGCAACCAAACUGGAUGGAAGCUCUAGGAGUGUUUGAAGCAUUUUGCAUUCCGCUAAUGAAAGGUAAUUGAGUGUACCAAUGUCCUUAAUGCUUGGUGGCUUGGUGGAAGAAAACAAAUUGGAGUUCUACUUAAAUUUAGUGUUGUCAAGGAGUGUGGCAAUGUGAACGAGGUAAAUCUGGAAUUUUUCAUUUCUAAAAACCUGGAGGAAAAGAAUAGCUUCAAUGGAAGAGAUGUAAUUUAAGAUGUGCUUGCAACAAUUCUAUCACUUUGAUGCAUCCUGCGUCCCUGAUGAUGCUCUAAAUCUAUAUUCAAGCUCUCAAGUUUUGAGCAACCACACAAAAUUAACAAGCUCUUCAAGUGAAUUCAAUCUCCUCAUUUCUUCUGGAAGUUCCACAAGACUUUUUCAAUUCUUCAUAUUUAAGAUCACGAGACAAUGUAAAUCACGAAUAGAUUCAUGAAUCUGGACUACAUGGAUGCAGUUUUCAAGUAUUAUCUUUUCCAGGCCUGGGGAUCCAGAGAAGUCUAGGGUUCUGAUAAGGUCAUGCAAGCUAUGCAGAUGAAGAAUUUUCAAAUUUGGAAGAGACUGUGAAAACAAUUACAUGUAGUGGUUAUCAAUUGAAAAUAGGAGGUGUAGCUAUAUAGAAAGAGACUAGAUACAUACCAGUUUGCCUUUCCAAGCACCAAUUAGACUACUUUUGGAUAGAUCAAGAACCACAAGCUUCUCCAAGCAAAAGUGUUGUGGUAUGGAUCUCAAAGAGAAUCCAUGCCAACAUAACCAUAUUAAAUUCUUAGGGAAGUGUUCAUAACUUCCAUAGAACUUCAUGUAAUUUAGUUGGAAAAAUUUUACAUUUUGCAUCUUUCUAAAAGCAUCCGUGCUGAAGAUGGAAGACAAACUUGUUUAGCCAAUUUGUACUUGUUCCCCCAAGAAAACUUAGAAAGCCAUUCCUGAGAGAGUUUUUGUACGAAGACGACAUUGUUGAAAGAAGUUAAGCCUGCAGCUAGCCAUUGAAUCAGUACAGACAACUUCUGUACUAUUAUCUUUUAUGAAUGCGUGCAUAUCUAGGAUAAGGCCACGUAAUUUUUCAGCAUCAUGAUUCCAAAAUAUUAAAAGUAUAUGAGAAAAGAAAGUAAAAGCAUGAACUUUUUAGGAUGCCUUAAUACAAUGUAGAUAUGAAAACAAAACUAGAUACUUACACUUGUUUCUUUCAAUACUGUAAAGGCUUCCAUGUGAUGCCAUAUUCUUUGACAUUUGGGUGAUUCUUGACGAGCAAUUUCCCUUCCCAUAUCUCUUAUGAGUUGAUGCAUCCAUAACUUUUUAUCAUUUUUUAUUUUCACAAUUUCUACUAGACAUCUAUUAAUGAGAUUGUCAAUUCUAAAUCUUGCACCUAUACCGAGUCCAUCUAGUAUCCUAUUUGCAUAAUUGUAAUCCAUUCCAUUGAAGAAACAAGCAAUAUCAAGGAAUAAAUUCUUCUGAUAAUCAUCAUCAAGAGAGUUGAUCCAUCUAGUAUCGUAACUUGUUGCAAGAACCUUUUGAACUCGAAAAUUCAGAAUCACCUCCAUUUCAUGCAAUGCACUUUCCCAUACUUCUCUACUUUUUUCUGGACAAUGAGGAACCAAUAACAUGUAGGGCCAAUGGAAGUCCAUUACAAUGACGUACUAUUCUCCAAGAGUCUUCUAAAAAAUCUUCAACCGGGCGAGCUUGUCCAAAGGCAUGCCAGCUGAAAAGCUCAAGUGAUUUUUUGUUAUCUAGAGGUUCAGCUUUGCACUUGACACACUCACCAUCAGCUACAAUCGAAGCCAUAUUUCUAGUUGUUACAAUGAUUUUACUUCCUUGGAAAAGCCAAUUUUGCAUGCCAACAAUUGCAUUGAACUGGUACCAUUUGUCCAUGUCAUCGAGAACAAUAAGAGUUCUUCUGCAACACAAUGCACCCUUAAUCUUUUAUAAUCCCUUCAUCGACAUCAUGCGUCUCAUCAGCAGUCUUGUUAGGAUAUCAGAAAGAAGUUGCCUUUGUAGACAAACUACACCAUUGGAUUCUUUUGACCUUUCUCUAACAUUUGAUAGAAAGCUCCUGCCUUUAAAUUUAUGAAAGUUGUGGUUAUAAACAGUCUUUGCUAUGGCUGUCUUCCCAACUCCACCAAUCCCAUAGAGUAUAGCAAUAGCUGCACCAUGGGGGCCAUCUUGCAAACAUGAGUUGAUAUAUUUUACCAGAUGAUCUCUUCCAAUGAAAUGAAGGGGGGCAUGAAAUAUUUAACGAUGCAGUUUCUUUAAUAUUUUACCAGAUGAUUGGACAAGCUGUGCCUCAUACCUGCAUCAGAAAGAAAAAUGCAAUGUAUGAUUUAGUAGUCUCUCCGUAAAGUUUAAAAAUCUUAGUAUCCUAGAAAAAAGAAAUUAAACAAGGCUGUGCAUCAAUGAUUGAUUGCUAUUUUUGUAGCCAUGUUAUCACCGCAUAUUAAAACCAAAACAUGGAAUAAUGUAGUAAUCUUUGCCUUUUCAGGUAGUCAAGGAAAAAAAAAUGAGAAAAAAGUAUCUUUUAUUUUUAUUUUCCUAGUAUGUUCUCUGAGUUGGGAGUAUUAUAGACUUAUAGUUUCACUAAAUUGUAGUGGUAUUAUCAGUUAUCGUCUCAAUGCUUAACUACAAACCUGAAAAAAUUAAGAGUUCAGAACCAGCAUUCUAUUAUUAUGUUGUGUAGUUUCAUCAAGAAAUACAACUUACCCAUCUCCUAAAACCAUUCCUCCUAAAUCUGCAACUUCCUACAAAGCAAUCCUCCACCCAUUCACUUGCUCCAUCUCCUUCUUGAAACGCUUGUCAUGAUCCACAAAUGCUGCAGCAAAGCUCCCUGUUUGAUUUCUGACUUCAGACG